AGCAGCCGCGGUAAUUCCAGCUCCAAUAGCGUAUAUUAAAGUUGUUGCGGUUAAAAGCUCGUAGUUGAAUUUCGGGAUUGGCGCAUCGGUCGUGCCUCACGGGGUAUGAACUGGUGCAGUCAAUUUCUCACCUUCUGGAGAACCGCGAUGUCCUUAAUUGGGUGCCGCGGGGAACCAGGACCUUUACUUUGAAAAAUUAGAGUGUUUAAAGCAGGCAUUUUGCUUGAAUACAUUAGCAUGGAAUAAUAAAUAGGACGGCAUGGUUCUAUUUUGUUGGUUUCUAGGACCACCGUAAUGAUUAAUAGGGAUAGUUGGGGGCAUUAGUAUUCAAUUGUCAGAGGUGAAAUUCUUGGAUUUAUUGAAGACUAACUACUGCGAAAGCAUUUGCCAAGGAUGUUUUCAUUAAUCAAGAACGAAAGUUAGGGGAUCGAAGACGAUCAGAUACCGUCGUAGUCUUAACCAUAAACCUAUGCCGACUAGGAAUCAGACGAUGUUAAUUUUUUAAUGACUCGUUUGGCAC
rnacentral:rRNA from 1 species